rnacentral:rRNA from 1 species
GGCAGCCAAGUCGUGAGGCGGAGCUAAUCCCUUAAAGCCAUUCUCAGUUCGGAUUGUAGGCUGAAACUCGCCUACAUGAAGCUGGAGUUACUAGUAAUCGCAGAUCAGAAUGCUGCGGUGAAUGCGUUCCCGGGUCUUGUACACACCGCCCGUCACACCACGGAAGUUGGGGGCGCCCGAAGCCACUUAGCUAACCCUUUUGGGAAGCGAGUGUCGAAGGUGAAAUCAAUAACUGGGGUGAAGUCGUAACAAGGUAAC